rnacentral:rRNA from 1 species
AUACGCGAUAUUUCUAACUCUAGCCUAAUUUUUAUACCGCCGUCCAAAGGGUAAAAUAUAAUAUUUUAUCCAUUCCAUACCCCUAUCAAGUAACAAUGUCAGGUCAAGGUGAAGUUUAUGCUCGAGUUUCAAUGAGUUAUUAAUAAAUGUAAUUUAUGGACUUUUGUUUAAAACCAAAAAUCGAAUUAAGAUUUAAAAGUAUUUUCAAUUCAAUACACUGAAAAGAAUAAGCAAAAAAGGUGUACAUAUCGCCCGUCGCCCUCGUCCAAAGAUGAGGUAAGUCGUAACACAGUUAAUAUACUGGAAAGUGUAUUAGGUGUAUUUCCUUUCAGCUUUUAGUAUUUCAUUUACACUGAAAAGAUAUCUUUUUCUUCUAAUCAACCUCAUUCACAAAAUCUUUGCGUUCUCACCCAUCUAGUUCAAAUCAAUAUAAACUGAAAAGGAUCCUCAUAAUAUUAUCAAAGUAAGUUCAUGUACCUUUUGUAUCAGGGAUUUUCAAACCACAAUGUUAAUUUCAAACUCCCGAAACAGGACGAACUUCGUAUUCUAGUAAAAGUUAUGGCAUAAACAAUAUAAACUUUACGAAGUUGAGAUAUUCUUUUCAAGUCCUCCUUUAUCUGGUUCACUCCAUCCUUUUUCUCAUCACAGUACAAAGAACAAGCUUAGUACCGAGUUUAUUUUCUUUUCCUUUUCCCAAUUUAGAUUUAACAGUAUCCACAUUGUUUUCAAACUCCGCUCCUCCCUUUUACUCUAACUAUCCCUUGAAUGACCUAUCUUAAUGCCCCUACAAUGAAAAUAUUAGUAAAAUUUAUCCUUUUCUCUAUCUUUAAAAUACUCCCCCUUCAUAAAUUUAUAUUAAAACUAUGAACUAGGCCCUCAAUCAAUUGACUGUUUACCAAAAACAUAGCUAAUAGACUUCAAUUACUAGUA